GUUCAAUUAGGGUUCUUCAUCCCGUUUCUCCUCUCCUCUUUCUUUUUCAUCUUCUUGUACAAAAGCUGGAUAUUGGUUCCGAUCAGUAUGCUGUGAAGUAUGAGCAAAUCUCAAAAAGACGACAGCCAUUAAUAGACAAUCAUCAUCAGCAACUCGGUAUAUUUCUCCUUACAUUUCCAACUCCAAAAAAUGAUCUCAUGAUUCAAGCUAGGGUUAAUUACAUGUUCUUCUGUUCCUUGUCUAAUGGUAAUAAUGCUAGUUGAUCUUCUUCUGAUUCAUUUGUGGUUAGUUAUUUGAGUGAUUUGUGUGGAUUGUCUGAAAAUGAAGCCAUUACUGUCUCUGAGAAAACCAAAUUCAAAACCACACCCCAACCAAAUUCAGUUGUAACACCAUUUAUAAAAAAAUGGGUUCUCUAAACCCUGCAUUUUAUAACUCAUCACUAAGAAUCCAUCAUUUCUAUCAUCUGAUCCCCUUAAAACCCUAAAACCCAAAUUUGAUUUUUUUCAAUUCCAAAGGACUACAUGGAAUUGAACUUGCCAACAUCAUUGUAAAGGAUCCAAACUUUCUGAGCCAGAGCUUGAUAUCCUUAAGAGCACAAAAACUGACAAAAAUUUCUUUAAAUUCCUCUUCAAACAAUCUACUUCUUGGGUCCUUAGAAUAACAGACUUAAACAUUUAAUGGAGCUUUUGAGAUAUGAAGGUGACCGUCAAUCUAGUAUUUCUAAGUAUAUAACUAUAAGACCUAGAACAUCUAGGUGAGAUGGUGAUAGGUUUACAAGGAUUGUGAAAAAGGCUAAAGGAAUAUGUUUCCAUCCUUUACUUAAAACCUUUCCUGAAGCUAUACAUGGAUUUGCAUCAAUGAGGGAAGCAAAUUGGAAACCGAAAGUGAAGAAAUCAAUGUUUACAAGGGGUGGAGUUGGUCUGAAGAUCAAAUUCAAACAGCAUUUAGGAAGAUUCUCUUUGUAUGAUGGUUUCUGAUUAGAAGAUUAAUUACCCAAGUGAUGGAUUUCCUUGUGAAUGAAAUGGGUUAUGCAUCAUCAAGUAUUGCGGAAAGCCCUGGGAUUUUAACUAAUAGCUUGAGGGAGAGGAUUAUCCCUAGGUGCUCUGUUAUCAAAAUUUUUGUCUCAAAGGGUCUGACUGAGGAAAAAAUAUCUCUGAGGUCACUCGGAAAAAUGACAUAUAAGUUAUUUUUGGACAAGUUUGUGAUACCAAAUGAGCAAGAAUCUCCUGCAUUAAUAAAGAUCAUCGAUUCUGGAGAGAAAUUCUAUUGUUUGCAUGGUCAAACGAAGUGUGUUCAUGGGACCUAAACUUUAACAGAGGCUGACUCAAGUGGCAGAGGAUGGAGUGAUAUUUUAGAAGCCAUGGCCUCAGUGGGGCAAAAUAUAGAGAUCUUGUCCGUGGUACUUCUGUUAACAUGCAUGGAUUUCUCGUCACACUUAGUGAUUUGACAGAUGCACUUCUUUUGCCAAUGUGUCAACAUCUCAAAUAUGAGACUGCGAUCUGCUCAGCAGGUGAUAGAAUUGGGGGACCAAUUGUCAUAUUUUUGAAAAUGUUCUGUUAUGGGGAGUUGCAUAGGUCUCCUCGGCUGAGACUUCCAAAAUAAAUGGGGAUGUUUACGAGUCUCUUAACCAAACUGUUGAGUAAGAAAAUCCAAAUGGACAGCACCAAAAUCAGAUGAUAUCUUUUGGAAGCUUCUCGUUAAGGAAAAGAAGAUUGAUGUACUUGUUGGUAUAAUUACUGAUAUCAGAGUGUAUGAAGUACCGAAAUAAAGGUGACUGCUUUGAGGUUUACAGAGACUAUAGAGCUAGGAUUGCGGAAGCUGGUGGGUUUUAUAACUUUUGAAAAGGGGCUCUUAGUGCUCCUCUUGGACAAAAGAUGGGUAUGAGCUGGUAUGGUUGGAAGAAAAUUUGACAGAGAAUCACAAACAAUGGCUGGUAUAUCUGGAAGCAUCAAACAAUUGUAGACUUCGCAAGGGCUUCCGAAAAAUUUACAUGAAGCUUUAGAAGAAAUCCGGUGGCAAGGUAUAUAUAUAUAUUUUUGUAUCUUGCUAAGUUUUACUUUUUGUAUCUUGCUAAGUUUUACUGUGUUUUAGUACUUCUUUGAAUUCGACAAGUUGUAUAGAAUUGGACAUUUACUGUCAUUGUAGCUGUCUUUCCUGAUUUCUGAUAUUUAAUUCAUCUCAUUUCCCAUGAUAACACCAUAUACAUUUUCAAAGGAAAUGUUGUUCACUUACUCAAAAUGCCUAAUCUAAUUGAUGUAAAUGGAAUUUAGCAUUUUCAUGAAGGAAUUCUGCAACCCAAAAACCUUUGUUUCCCCGUUAACACAUACCAUCUGGCAGACCUGACUACUUGGGCAUUUGUUGCACUGAGAUAAUGUUGGAAUAUGUGGUUGAUUGUCUGAGUUUGUGGAUUAUCUCAUCACAUCACUCAAAUAUGAUAGUGUUAAGCUUGUUCUUGGAGGUUGUGUGGCGUCUUCUAAUCCGAAGCUGAUCAUGGUGAGUGAGCUACAUUUUGAUUUUCCAUUUAUCAGUUCUAUUCGAAUGGUGCCUAGUGGUGUCAAGUAUAAGAUUGACUAGGAAUAUUGAUAAUGGAUGCCCAUCUGGCGUAGACACAGCCUGAGAACUGAGUGAAAUGGGUCUAAAAAGUAGGCAUUUAGGCUAUGAAGAAAUGAACACUUGACCCUCUUAAUGUUGCAUUUCUGCUUUUUUCAAGGUAGUAUCUUUAAUAGAGUGUUGUAUGUUUUUCUUUUUUUGAAGCACUAGUAUUUUAUGUGGUCAGAAAUAAAUGUAAAAUAGGGUGGUAGAUUAUGUUAAGACAAGAAGAUAAAUUAUGUUUAAUGGACCAUUCAAAUGAUAUUCUAAUUAGAAGUCCCUCUCCACCAACUAAAUCCGUUCAUUUCUAAGGGUUGCUACAUUCUCUAACAACUCAAAUUUAUGAAGGGAGGAGAAACCAUAAUCUAGGUGAUGUUGAAAGGAACAUUGCUGGGAUAUGUGGAUGAUUGUGGUGACUUUUUUUUUCACAGUAAUCUAGAUUUUAUUGACAAGCAAAAGAUACAAAAAGAACAGAAAAAAGUAAGCAAAAGAAAAUACCUUUAUAGAUAGGGUAAUUUAGCUCAGACUCCUUAUUACAAAUCUAUAGUAAGGCUAAUCUGAAACUUUAAUGUGUGUAACAAAAAAAAAAAAAAACAAAACAGGCCUGUACAUGUAACUUCUGGUAGAUUAGCACCCAACUUUGCCAGGCUGUCUGCAGAAAAGUUUAUUUCCCCGUGGUGACUGCUAAGUCUUCUUCCUCCUUUUAUUAAUUAACUACGUUGUUGAGUUUUGUAUAAAGCUACAAACUUAUAAUGGUGAAUGUUGGUGAGAUCUCCUUCAUCUUUUUAUCAGUUAACCACAUGCUGUCUUUUAGACACAGGUAAUCUUGUGGCUUUUUCUUUUAUUUUAAAUUUCAAGUUGCAGGAACUAAAUAAUACUGAAUAAUGCUCUGGUAACAAUAAUAUUAAUCUACAUAAUGAGUCCUAUUUAUGAAUUUUUUCUUUGUGCAGUCACACUUGAACCACACUUGCUAUACUAGUAUUGUUAUCACUGUUGUAUGCUUAUGUUUCAUGUAUUUUGUGAUCGAAGUAUUUUUACAAGCGGCAAUAGAAGAAUAAGGUAGAGAUAUGCUAUAUAUCCAACCUUAUCUUGAUGCACUAGAAUCGAGCAAUGGGCAUGAUAUCACAUGUAAAAUGGUACAAGUUUCCCUUGGCCACUCUAUUAUACAUAAGUCGGCCCAGUUUAUUUAGGUAUGGCUGUGAGGGAAAGGCUUUGCUGGUUGGCAAUGGGUAGUGCCUGGUGAUCGGUGCUCCAUUAAAUAAAAUUGUAUAGAGAGAAAUUUCUUAAUUGAUCAAUAAAUUACCGUCUUUGAUUUUUUCCUUCUAAUUUCUUACGGCUCUGAAAUGUGCGUAACCAUAAUUGCAUAUGAGAAGUACCUCUCACCAACUUCUCUGGUGAGAGGGUACAACUCACCCAUAUACCAUAUUUUGUUUCCAUCCCUUAAAGAUAUUCUUCUAUAAUUUAGUAUAAGAGGAAACCAGAAUCCAGAAGCAGGUAAAUCAAGAAUCUAAUGACCAAAAGGGUUAAACUGAAUAGUGUGGCUUUGAACAUAUCAUCUGGUUGAUAUCUAGCGACUUAUGGGGGAAAAAACAGUACAUAUUUGCAUGUAUUUGAGAUCUGAUGAAACAAGUUAUCAUAUGCGUAUUAAGUAAGUACAUGGCAUCCGUAUCCAUGUUCUUCUUUACUCAGCACAUCAUGUCAAACAUCACAUGCCACUGUCUAACAUUUACACAAGUACUCGUAGCAUUGUUACAUAUGUUACUACUCUUACUUUCACCAUUACUGUUUUCUUACCUUUUGUAUUGUUGAUGUGUUUUUAUUAAAACUACAGAAUAAGGAUUCUUAAUUUUUCUGUUGUUCAGGUUCUCAACCUAACGUCCCUGAUAUAACGGUUGUUCCUCCUAAAGAUGACCACCUUGGCCACAUCAUAGAUGCUAUGGCGUUGUACGUUCUUGGUGGAGGAUGCUCAUUUGAACAAGCUCAAUAAUGGAGAGUGGUCGUGGUAAUCCUCUGUUAAGUUCUUUUUUGAGCUUGGGGUCAAAGGAGCACAAAUACUAUGUGUGGAAGCUGUAAUCUUUUGCUCAGGAUGACACUCUUUAAAGGUGGAAACUGAGCCUUUCAUUUAUGAUAAUUGGAAGUGGGAGGUUAACUAGCUAAUUGAGUUGUGCACGAGAGAAGAAUCUUAAUGAUUUGAUAAAUAUUUACAUUUCCAUUCAGAUGGAUAUGAUAACCUCUGCCUGCAAUCGAGAUCCCCGAGCAUGAGACAGAAGCUGGCACUACAUUUGCAGCAGGAAGAAGCAGAGAUGGAAUUAAUACGAGGUGGAUUCUUUACUGUUGUCCUCAAAAUUAAGUACCUUUACAAGGAAGGAAAGGCUGAACCUGUUUUGGCGGAUUCUAUAUGGGCUCCAGAGGAGAAUGGAAGUGACAAUAAAGACAAAACUCAGGAGCGACUCAUCUUUCUGGAAGUAAAAAUGCUGGUGAUUGCCCUAGCAAAGUUAAUGAUGUAGAAAUUUCAACUGAUUUAAGCACUUUGUCCCACCUUGGCCAUUAAUGAAGAGCAAGGGUUGUACCUUUACUUCUAAUGUACCUUAUCUUCAAUUCCAAGGACUGGAAGUUCUUUUCCGAAGAUGGUUGGCAAGGUGCCAACUCUAGAUGUGUAUCUGGUGAAAUUGAGAUUUGUGGUGGUGACCUGAAGGAAUUAGUUGGAUCUUGUGAAGAGAUGCCAAUUUCAGAAGCAUUCCUGAAUCCUUCAAACGAGGAGGUUGGGUCAAGUCAACCUUCGAUAGUAGAUAUUUAGGGUUGUGCUCUUUUGAAAGCAAAAGAUAGAUGGCAAUCUAUAGAUCUCUUAGUUUUACAGCUUAAAUCAUCAGUAGAUGUUGGUGUUUUCAAAUCAUGGAAAUAAAUAUCAACCACUGUAAUAUAUAUAGGUUAAUGGUGCUUAAGUGACAUUUAGCUGUGUGUUUCUUGGUCUUGUCACUAGCAUUAAUAAAAAAAAAUAGA